rnacentral:rRNA from 1 species
AGAGUUUGAUCCUGGCUCAGAUUGAACGCUGGCGGCAUGCCUAACACAUGCAAGUCGAACGGCAGCACAGCAGAGCUUGCUCUGUGGGUGGCGAGUGGCGGACGGGUGAGUAAUGCAUCGGGACCUACCCAGACGUGGGGGAUAACCUCGGGAAACCGGGACUAAUACCGCAUACGUCCUACGGGAGAAAGCGGGGGAUCUUCGGACCUCGCGCGGUUGGACGGACCGAUGUGCGAUUAGCUAGUUGGUAGGGUAAAGGCCUACCAAGGCGACGAUCGCUAGCUGGUCUGAGAGGAUGAUCAGCCACACUGGAACUGAGACACGGUCCAGACUCCUACGGGAGGCAGCAGUGGGGAAUAUUGGGACAUGGGUGACAGCCUGAUCCACUCAUUGCCGCCUUGUGGUGAAGAACGGCCUCGGGUUUGUAAGCCUUUUAUCAGGAACGAAAUACCACGGUUCCAUAACCGGUGGGGCUGACGGUACCUGAGGAAUAACCACGGGUUAAUUUCGUGCCAGCAAUUGGGGUAAUACGAAGGGU